rnacentral:rRNA from 1 species
GACGUAGGGCGCGAGCGUUGUCCGGAUUUAUUGGGCGUAAAGAGCUCGUAGGCGGCUUGUCGCGUCGAAUGUGAAAUUUUAGGGCUCAACCCUGACAUUGCAUUCGAUACGGGCAGGCUUGAGUGCGGCAGAGGAGACUGGAAUUCCUGGUGUAGCAGUGAAAUGCGUAGAUAUCAGGAGGAACACCGAUGGCGAAGGCAGGUCGCUGGGCUGACACUGACGCUCAUGCACGAAAGCGUGGGGAGCAAACAGG